ensembl:lncRNA
CAGGGGAUACCGGUACAGAGUCAAUGUGGAGGCUAUAUACAGGGUGUUAUGGUACAGAGUCAAUAGCGAGACUAUAUACAGGGUAUUCCGGUACAGAGUCAGUGUGGAGUCCAUAUUUACGGAGGAUACCGGUACAGAGUCAAUGUGGAGGCUAUAUACAGGGUGUUAUGGUACUGAGUCAAUGUGAAGGCUAUAUACAGGGGGUACUGGUACAGAGUCAAUGUGGAGGCUAUAUACAGGGUAUUACGGUACAGAGUCAAUGUGGAGGCUAUAUACAGGGUGUUAUGGUACAGAGUCAAUGUGGAGGCUAUAUACAGGGAGUACCGGUACAGAGUCAAUGUGGAGACUAUAUACAGGGUAUUACGGUACAGAGUCAAUGUGGAGGCUAUAUACAGGGUGUUAUGGUACAGAGUCAAUGUGGAGACUAUAUACAGGGUAUUACGGUACAGAGUCAAUGUGGAGGCUAUAUACAGGGUAUUACGGUACAGAGUCAAUGUGGAGGCUAUAUACAGGGUGUUAUGGUACAGAGUCAAUGUGGAGGCUAUAUAUAGUGGGUACCGGUACAGAGUCAAUGUGGAGGCUAUAUACAGGGGAUACCGGUACAGAGUCAAUGUGGAGGCUAUAUACAGGGGGUACUGGUACAGAGUCAAUGUGGAGGCUAUAUACAGGGGGUACUGGUACAGAGUCAAUGUGGAGACUAUAUACAGGGUAUUACGGUACAGAGUCAAUGUGGAGGCUAUAUACAGGGGAUACCGGUACAGAGUCAAUGUGGAGGCUAUAUACAGGGUAUUACGGUACAGAGUCAAUGUGGAGGCUAUAUACAGGGUGUUAUGGUACAGAGUCAAUGUGGAGGCUAUAUACAGGGUAUUGCGGUACAGAGUCAAUGUGGAGGGUAUAUACAGGGGUACCGGUACAGAGUCAAUGUGGAGACUAUAUACAGGGUAUUACGGUACAGAGUCAAUGUGGAGGCUAUAUACAGGGUGUUAUGGUACAGAGUCAAUGUGGAGGCUAUAUACAGGGUAUUACGGUACAGAGUCAAUGUGGAGGCUAUAUACAGGGUAUUAC